CCUACACCUUACGUGGCUUUUCUUUCAUUUUUUAUUCCUUUUUCUGUUAAAAAAUUCUAAAACGUUAAAACAUGCGUUUUGUUCCGGCCCCUAUUCAUUUUCGAAAUUUUCCCCAGCUCUAGCGCGUGUCAAAUACAUGUUCGUGUGCUCUCAGCCGUGCCGGCGUCCUCCUCCGCAUUCUCUCUAAACCUCCGAGGAAAGCUUCGCCGCCGACGAGUUGUUCUUUUUUACAGAUUGAAAAUGCAUCUAUAGCCCACAAGGUAGAGAUAAGAGUCGAAGGUUUUGAGAGUGGAAGGAGAGAGAAAUUUCAAGCAAGCUCAAAUACAAAGCCCUUUUAAUUGGUCUAAGAAGAAAGAUUAUUCAAAUGAGAGGAGAAGUUGGAAAGAAUGCUGAAUUAUCAUCAAUAUCAAGAAAGGAAACUGAGCCACAACAGAACCAACUACAUUUUGUGUGGCCCUAGAGGAGGAGAGAAGCUAGUUUCAGAUGGCGAAUUGUUGGGGUUCUACAGCUGAUAACCCAACUCCAAGUACCACUGCCUAUCUCAAUUCAGGUGGGGAAAAAAAAAAAAACCAGCUGUGCUUUCUUCUUGUAUGUUCACCCCUUCCAUCAAAUUCUCAAAUAUCUCAUAUGGGUUGGUUCUUUUUGUCCCAUAGUUUUUGUUUUUAAAGAAAACUCGUUGUUAUGUUAGCCAGUUGCCACAAGCCAAUGGGAUCUUUCGGGUAAAUGAUUUACAAGAAAACCCAGUGAAAUUUCCUAACUUGAGUUGCCUGAGGUGAUAUGACUUUUUGUUGCAUUUUACCGCAUGGAACCAUGCUAUUUUACCUCUAUACUUUGUUAUUAACGUAUGCUGCGAAUUUGUUCCUGCAGCUAUAUUACAGUUUCUAGCAGUGCAUAAAGAGAAGCCUCUAAGAUCUGUCAUGUUAACUGAAAAAAUUGCAAUGUUAUGAUUCACUGCCAUGUUAUUACAGUUUGCUCUGCAAUGUUUAACUGCAGUUAAACAUUGCAGUAAAGCCUUAGUAUGAAUUCACUUGUUAGUUAACAUUGCAGUUAAAAUUUGCCUAAAGAGAAGCCUCUAAGUAUAUUACAGUUUCUAGCAGUGAGUUCUUUCUUCUUUGGUAUAUCCCUCUUCAACUCUCCUCUUUCUUUUGUCAAUUCAAUUCAAGAUCAGAAAAUGCAAGAUUUUCUCUCUUUAUUUCUUUCCUUUCUUCUUUCUUGCAGGAUAAAAAAAAUACAAGAUUCUCACUUUCUUGAUUUAUCUCUUAUUUCUUCAUUCUCCUUCAACUCUGUUAAGAAAUUUGCUUUCUGGUUCAAGGCAUUUUCCACCGGUUUAGCAUUAUUCCAGCUUGUUCUGGUGUGUUCAAAUGAUUUCCAGCAUAGUUCUGGAGAAAUUUAAAAAAAAAACCGAUGUAUACUGAAGCUUUAGUACUAGGCGAUUUAUUAUUGCAGAUAAAAGUUGGGGAAGGAGAUCACAAACUCCACUUAAAAUCUCACUUUAAAGGCUUGAAAAUGUUUGUGGAUCUUUUGGGCUGUGAAACCAUAGUGGAGACAUGUCGGCCCCACAUGCAGCUAGUGUAAUGGGGCGUUGGUUUGCAUUAUACCACAUAGCUGAAUAGAGGUUCUUUCACUAUUGCAGCAUGAAUUUAUAUACAAAAAUUCUAUAUGCAGUCACUUUUGUGCACUCUUUUGUGCACUCCAGUGAUAUGAUUGGUUGUGUGUUAAAAAAAAAUUAAUCCAGCCAAUCAUAUCAGUGGAGUGCGCAGAGAGUACGUAAAAGUGACUGUAUGUAGCAUUACUCAUUUAUAUAUUGCAUGAACCCUAACUAGGCUAGGAGAAUGCAUGCUUUGGGCAUUCUCGUGUCUCGAUUCUGAUUAUUAUUAUACAUACAUCUAUCUAAUUACUUUUAUGAUAAUUGGUUGGCUUUGCAGACAUGCAAAUUUGGUAAAUCUUCCCGAAUCUCCCUUUCCAAACUUUCUUCUUUAGAUCAAAUAAAGGAUUUUUUUUUUUUUUUUAAACCCGAAAUGGGUUCUUCACUUGUCUUAAUCCAAUGCAUUUGCCUAACAGUCCAGCAGGAGCAUUAGUUCAGACCCUGCCUUUGCUAAAAAAAUAAAGAAAGAGAUCAUGAAAUGCCCAUGAUUAUAAACAGAGCAGUAGCUAUAGCUAACAGGCUCGUGUGGAGAGAGCUAACAUGAUGAUCUCAACUCUCAAGAAAGGAAAUAUAUUAAGCACGUAUCUAUGACUUUUGACCACUGAUGAUGCCAUAAUACUAGACUCACUACUCCACACUUUUUUGAUGGGUUGAUUGACUUUUGAGAAGAAGCAGUACGUACUACACAAACACAUUACACGUCUUUUUUAUGGGGUUAUUGCUAAAAUAGCUUGUUUUUGUUUUUAGAUGAGUGGUGUUGCUAAAAUGGUUCUUGGCAGCAUUCUAGGUAUCGAUAAACUAUCCUACUAGUAUGGAAAUCUUACCUUCUUACAAUUAAGAGAUCUUGAAUUUGUGUGUGUGUCAUUCUUAGUUGUAACAGAUUGAUGGGUGAAGAGGAAAAUGAUAGGCCACUCAGGCAUUCUAUAUCGAUUUCACCGACCCAAGCUAUCAUAGUCCCGUAAAUCCAUACUACCCGACAUAUAUGAUGACAACAAAUACGUAUUCAAAUCCAUAUCUGUACCAUUAGAGUAGCCAGCUAGAUGCCUCUUUUAAUUUUAUUUUUUAUUUUUUUUAAAUUGUGUAUCUGCAUUCGAGGCUU